rnacentral:rRNA from 1 species
UGACGGACUGAAGGCUCUUUCUCGAUUCCGUGGAAAGUGGUGCAUGGCCGUUUUUGGUUGGUGGAUCGAUCCGUCUGGUUAAUUCCGUUAACGAACGAGACCUCGGCACUCCGAAUAGCGCGGCGGACGUCGCGGCCUCCGGGCCGUCUUCCGCACGAGCUUCUUAGAGGGACCGUCCCCCGCCGGGGAAGGAGGUGCGAGGCAACGACAGGUCUGUGAUGCCCUUAGAUGUUCUGGGCCGCACGCGCAUUACACUGACGCGUCCAACGGGUGACUCCCGACCCGAAGGGGCCGGGGAAUCCGCAAGGCGCGUCGUGAUGGGGAUUGAACGUUGCAAUUGUUGUUCACGAACGAGGAAUUCCUAGUAGGCGCGGGUCAUCAACCCGCGCCGAUUACGUCCCUGCCCUUUGUACAC